CGCUUUGUAUAAAUACCAGGCCAUUCACGUGAUCUCUUUCUCUUGGGAGUCAGUGCCAUCUUUCUGAGACACUCCUUCCAAUCAUGAGGGCGAAGUGGAGAAAGAAGCGCAUGCGCAGGCUGAAGCGUAAAAGGAGAAAGAUGAGGCAGAGGUCGAAGUAAACUGCACCCCCACCGCUCUGCUGCUGCAGCUGGGACGGACGACCCUGGACUUUACCUUCCACACCCCAAUCUACUCCACCGACCCAACCCUCCCUGUCUCCCUGCCUUGCACCAUCUUCAGAAGCCCGAGCAGAGGCCUAUUGGUGGACUCGUCUACAUUCCUUGGAAGGCUGCUGGCACCUUCGUUGGUUGGAUUCCCUGGCUCCUCUCUUUGCAAUGUGAGGAUGGGCCCAUGGAGGCUUCUCUUGGACACUGGACUCUUGGCAGCUCAGCAACGUUUUCCUUUUUUAUUUUUUGUUUAUAUUGUUUAAAUAAAAGUUGAUGGAAAAUAAGGAAAA